rnacentral:rRNA from 1 species
UACGUAGGGGGCUAGCGUUGUCCGGAAUCAUUGGGCGUAAAGAGCGUGUAGGCGGCCCGGUAAGUCCGUUGUGAAAGUCAGGGGCUCAACCCUUGAAUGCCGGCGGAUACUGUCGGGCUAGAGUCCGGAAGAGGCGAGUGGAAUUCCCGGUGUAGCGGUGAAAUGCGCAGAUAUCGGGAGGAACACCUAUGGCGAAGGCAGCUCGCUGGGACGGUACUGACGCUGAGACGCGAAAGCGUGGGGAGCAAACAGG